GACGAACGCUGGCGGCGUGCUUAACACAUGCAAGUCGAACGAAGAGCGACGGAAGCUUGCUUCUAUCAAUCUUAGUGGCGAACGGGUGAGUAACGCGUAAUCAACCUGCCCUUCAGAGGGGGACAACAGUUGGAAACGACUGCUAAUACCGCAUACGAUCUAACCUCGGCAUCGAGGAUAGAUGAAAGGUGGCCUCUACAUGUAAGCUAUCACUGAAGGAGGGGAUUGCGUCUGAUUAGCUAGUUGGAGGGGUAACGGCCCACCAAGGCGAUGAUCAGUAGCCGGUCGGGGGGGAGGAACGGCCACAUGGGAACUGAGACCGGGCCCAGCCCCCUAGGGGGGGAAGCAGGGGGGAAUCUUCCGCAAGGGAGGAAAUUCUGACGGAGCAACGCCGCGGGGGGGAUGACGGCCUUCGGGUUGUAAAGCUCUGUUAAUGGGGACGAAAGGCCUUCUUGGAAAAAGGGAAAAGGAUUGAGGGUACCGAAAAAAAAAGCCCCGGCUAACUACGU
rnacentral:rRNA from 1 species